rnacentral:rRNA from 1 species
AUGGCGCAACAGUGGCUUGGCGGUGCCGACGUCUCACUGCAAUGUGCGUUUGAACUUCGACAUCGAAGAAAGACAUCAAGAUUAACUAGGAUGGAACUGGCCACAUACUGCGCACAAGAGGAUAGUCUGCAUCUGCGUUGGCUAGAAGCUCGUCGGCGCGGGCGUCGUCCGCUGCGCAUGGCGGCGAUGGUGCAGGACAGGCUGGGCGGCUGCGACGUACGUCCGGGCGGGCAAAGGCAGGAAGAUCGAGUUGAUUCCCGACGGCUGGGGAUUUGGAUGCCAGCGAUGUUUUUCACGAAGGGCCUGGACCAGGUCGCGCUCAAGUUGGUGUGGAAGGUGAGCAGGCAGCGACGGCCUCAUGACACCGCCGGAGAAGUUCAGGAGCGGUCACGUGCUACGCGCGUCGGUGCCGCUGCGCGCCACAUACGGGAGCACCUCCACAGCCUCCGACGUGGACAAGUCCUCGAACGCCGAGGAGGUCGAGCUCUGCAGCUGCGGCAGUUACUCCGUCGUAGGCCUCGCCCCGCCGCCGCAUGGCCGUGCCCCGUACCGGUACGGCAACAUGCCCGCCGCCGCCACGGAUCGCCACAGGCGACGCAGACGCCGCCAACCAGUGCAGAGCGUGGUCGCGUUCCCCGCGGGCUAUACGGACGAUCGCUUCGCGUGAGGUCGCCUUUCAUGGCUGCCACCAGCGUCGGCGGGAAUGACUCUCCGAUGACACCCGAGGACUCCAUAGUGGUUUGUACCUCUUUUAUGAUUGACGAACUCACCGCUGUUCAGCUUCCCUACUAG